rnacentral:rRNA from 1 species
UACGUAGGGUGCGAGCGUUGUCCGGAAUUAUUGGGCGUAAAGGGCUCGUAGGCGGUUUGUCGCGUCGGGAGUGAAAAUCCAGGGCUUAACUCUGGACUGGCUUCCGAUACGGGCAGACUAGAGGUAUGCAGGGAAGAACGGAAUUCCUGGUGUAGCGGUGAAAUGCGCAGAUAUCAGGAGGAACACCGGUGGCGAAGGCGGUUCUCUGGGCAUUACCUGACGCUGAGGAGCGAAAGUGUGGGGAGCGAACAGG